UACAGAGGUCCCAAGCGUUGUUCGGAUUCACUGGGCGUAAAGGGUGCGUAGGCGGUCGGGUAAGUUUGAUGUGAAAUCUCUGGGCUUAACCCAGAAAUGGCAUUGAAUACUAUUCGGCUAGAGAGUCGGAGGGGGGACUGGAAUACUUGGUGUAGCAGUGAAAUGCGUAGAUAUCAAGUGGAACACCAGUGGCGAAGGCGAGUCCCUGGACGAUUUCUGACGCUGAGGCACGAAAGCUGGGGGAGCAAACAGG
rnacentral:rRNA from 1 species